UUUAUUGGGUUUAAAGGGUGCGUAGGCGGCCCGUUAAGUCAGCGGUGAAAUCCCACGGCUCAACCGUGGAAUUGCCAUUGAAACUGCCAGGCUUGAAUCUGGUUGAAGUGGGCGGAAUAUAUCAUGUAGCGGUGAAAUGCUUAGAUAUGAUGUAGAACACCGAUUGCGAAGGCAGCUCACUAAGCCAACAUUGACGCUGAGGCACGAAAGCGUGGGGAGCGAACAG
rnacentral:rRNA from 1 species